rnacentral:sRNA from 1 species
AAAACAAAACACAACAGACUCAUCGUUUCUCAUUGGAUCAGUGCUGGGGCUUCAAAGAGGCCUGCUCAUCCCCAUGCUCUUGCGACCCUUUGCCGGAUGCCUCCCUACAGCAGCCGUGCAGAACAGAACUCUUUCUAAAACGUCACCCACAGCAGACGCCAGUGCUUCAGCCAUGGCUUGAACGUUCUCACGUCUCCCACUAUUAUCUGCAUCUGAGUUCUCUUUACUCCCCUUAAACUACGACCGUGAAAGAGAGCGAUUUCUACAUCAUUUAGUUAUUUAUCUCCGUAAUACUCAGGAGUGAAAUUUUUAAAAGUGGCUACCAUUACUCUUGCUGCUAACAAUUGGCAGCUAUCCUGGGGAAGUGGUACGCGGGAUGAAAUGAGCCCCUGUAGGAAACAUGGCCUUUUCUUGUUUCUAAUAUUUUUUCGUCUUUGGUGUCAUCAGUCAAAUUAAUCUAUUUUCUCUUUCCACAUGACUCUCCAAAGUGAGAGAGAAGUUAAGGGUUUGAAGAGGCUGUUCUGGGCUUCCCACUGAACAUGGGGCUUAGGAUGUGGCUGGGCACCUGCUUCCCUUAACCCCUUGAGAUCUGAGAAUUCAGAACCCUUUCCUGUAGCCUAGCAAAAACAAAAACAGGAACAAACAAGGUGGGGGUGGGGUAUGUGGUGGCAUGGGGUGGGGGAUGUAUUACAGAAUACCAGUGCUGGUAUCAUGUUUCUCUUCCCCAUCUCCAUGUCCUAUUCCUCUUCUUCAUUUAUUAUUGUUUUAAAAAAUAACUCAUUGUGUCCAAUUAGUGGUACCUAUUCAUGGCACCAUCCACUAGAGCUUAAAAAAUACACAGACUCUACCUCAUGCUCAUGUAUACUCGAGGGUACAGACCUGACAGUAUACAGAAGACAAGAGAGAACAAUGUAAAGGGCUGAGAGAAAUACAAGUUCUGAGACUUGGGGAGGCACGGUCUCUAUGUAGGAUCCGUGAGUGCCCGGGCAUACUUGGAACUGACACCCGCCGGGACCUACAGGAUGGAGACCUAGCAGGUUAUUGAUUUUGCAGGUGUCUGAAUUUGAAGUGACAAAUUACUUGGUUACAGUCAGCUUUAGUGUUGCCUUCUUUACACAACUACACUAACACAUUUCUAGGCAACUUUGAGGACUCUUAAAAUUAAAACGUUUUAUAAAUAACAAAGCCACAGAGGGAAAACCAGGUGUAUUUACUAUUAUCAAAGUUCAUCUCCAUGUGCGUGUCUGAACAUAGCAACAGCAGCACAGAGGGAUCGCCUCAGUUACCCUGCUCCUCUGGAUCAUUUAGCUGCUGGCUAUGGUAUAGAGCUUCCAUGGUAUAGGACUUCUAUGUUCUAGAACUCCCAUGGUAUAGAACUUCUAUGGUAUAGAACUUCUAUGGUGUAGAGCUUCCAUGGUGUAGAGCUUCUUGUUCCAUCUCUGACUCCUUCCCCUUGCCCUCUGCUACAUGUGCUAUUCCCUCCAUCCCAUGCCAUUCAGAGAACACAGCCCUACACUCCUGCAGAGGCAGACUCAGGUACCUCACAUCUCUGUGUCUAAUCCCUUUGGGGGGGGGGUGAGGAUACACAGCCACCAAGUCUUGUGAAGCUAUGCCAGCCAUCUCAGCCAUUCCCCCGACACAUUCGUGACAUCCUCCUGCCGUAGAGGCUGAGGAUUUAUGUGACUUUAAUUGAAGGCUACAGAAGGGACAGGGAAACAUCAGCUCCUAUCAAUCACCGCGUCCCUUGCUUUCAUUGUGUACUUAACAGCUUGUUACUUAUUCAGGAGGGGGAUUCUGCACUGAGUCUGUCUCCGUGCAAACAGUCUUCCCAGGCUGAAGAAAGCCCUGAAACAGGGAGGUGGCCUCAUUAGGCACACAGGCCUGUGCCGCAUACCGAAACAUGGAGACACAGUGCUGAUGACCACGACUACAGUGGGGGAGUCAAGGGUUCCAGCAUCCUCCCGCUUUCCUGUCUAUGUCCCCGCAAGACUUCCCAGGCGUGUUUGACACCAUGGCCCUUUGUUGUGUUUUCAAAGCGAUCCUUGCUUGGCUCUUCUCAACAAUGAACUCUGCGACUGUUUAACUGAAAUCUCCUAUGGGGGGAACUUGAUGUCUGGUUUACUGUGCUCUCUUACAGAAUGCCUGCAGCACAGCAGACCCCUGAAGGAGCGAGCAUACGGCUGCAUGCACGUGAGGAAUGCUAACACUCAGUCUUGGUUCUGACUCCCCUUUUACCUUACGCCUCUACGCCAUCUGUAGAGGCUUGAGGACCCUUCAUCUUUAUCUUUUCUAAGGGCCAUCCUUUAGGGGGCUCAUUCAAGACCCAGUACGGUUAUCACCCGGCUCUCAGGUACUGCCUUGGCGUGUGAUGCUGAACUGUUCCUCCUGACCCCCAGGCAGAUCUCAGUCCCAAGUUUACCCGCCCAAGGUUUUGCUUCCCAACUUAGCUCAGCCCACUACCCUGGUGGUCGAAGUUAGGUUCCUACUUGCCAGUCGUUUCCCACUGAGCUACUGAUGUGUCUGACCCUGCGGACAGGCUCUUCUGUGAACCAAGGAAGAUGUCACCUGGGAACCAGUUAGAGGUCGCUUGGGCCUUUGUGUGGUCUUUAAAAUAAGGGGGUUUGCAAGCCAAUGAUGCGUAUUUUCUUAAUCCGUUUCACACAGAAGAAGGGGUUUUAGUGUGAGAUUUGCAAUCUUGUUCUUCAUCUAUUUCCCUAUUUCAACCUGACUACCUGGUUCAAAUUACCAACUGAUACCUGGGUAGGUUAUCAUGCAGAGAUAAGUGCCCCCUGCCCCACUGCGCCCCCAACAAUGGAGCAAACAUGACGGUCACCAUACAUGUGACUUCAGUAGUCCCUGGUGGGUGGGCAUGGAGUGACAGUGACCAUCAUGAGCCAACACAGUGAGCCUACAACCUUGAGCUGAAUAUACAAGGUUCCCAUGGGUCUGACACGCCCCGGGGAGUUUCCAUUCCUCUGCCCUAAACCUCUAGGGUUACUGGGAAUUUCUCCAAGGGCACAGGGAAGUGCUUGUGCUUGGAUUCAGAUUCCCCAAACAACAAGGAAAAAACCCAGGGGGCUCAGCGAGCCCCUCUGGAGGUCUGAACAGGUGAGACUGGCAGCUCUGCCUUGGGUUCCACUGGUGGUGGCCGAGUUGGCAGCCAUAGAGAUUUGCUGUGGCAGAAUACUUAAAGAUGUUCACACAGAGGGACAGAAGGGACAGUCGUUCAUUGUCCUCCUAUGGGACUCCAUCACUUGAAAAGUAAGGCCUAGAAAUUACAAUAUCAGCCGACUUCCAUACAUCCAUUUCCUUCACAAUGGUUGGCAUAUGCUGAGAAGGGAAUGCUCGGAGGGGCUGCUCACCACCACCCGGCCUUGCAAAGAACAAGGACACAGGAAGGAAGAAACGCAAUCACUAGCCCAAGGAAGAGACACCCAGGGAUGGGCACCAUUGUGUAGGAUGAGGUGAGGGAUAAUACAAAUUAUGAUUUCAGACCCUGGUAGGCAAGCUACACCAUGUUCUUUUCACAUCUGAAUCUCUGUACAGCAUGUUCUUGGUGACUACAGUCAAGGUCCUUGGAACACUCACAGUAGCUUACUUGAGUUUUUAAAAAGCCAGGUAUAAAUAUCAAUGCUGCUGCAGAGUACGCAGAAUAAAAUUUAACAUCUUUUGAGGGAGUCUUACUUCUGAGGCGCUGUUUGAAGUGCUUUAAGUGUCCUAUCUCGUUAGAUUUACAAUUCGCCAUCCUGUGAAAUCAGUCCUGUGGUCUCUGCCCUUUGCCAUACGAUCACAGACAGGCCCUGGGCAUGGCAAGUUUCUGGGAACAUACAGAUACUGAGCCAUGAAGUUGAGGGAGACUCUUCCCUUCCUUCUUUCCUUCUGAAGAUAAGGAGGGUCUCCCAGCAGCUGGGCUCUAGCUCACCCCCACUAUCCUCCUGGUUCAGCAGGUCAAGUACCAGAAUAAGGAGGCUGGAGCUUAGCUGACUGCCCCAUCUCAGGAGAACUACAGAGCAAGCAUCAGGAAGACAGGCAUAUACUCUGAGCCACAAGAGGAAGCCAGCAGAGAAACCUGUGUGUCCCACACAGAAUAGCCCUUGGAAAAGUGGUUUUACAUCAGACCAGACCUCCGCAUCUCAAUGUGGUUGUGGGGCACUGCCCAGAAUUAAGAACUACAGGAGUCAAAGAGACACAGCUGGAUUACUGACCCUAGAAGGACGGGGCGGCCUGCCUGCUCCAGACCUUGCUGGGAGGUGAAGGCUAUCGUGGGAAAAUGACUACGUAUGAGAGACAAGGAGAGUCCACUAGUGAGAGAGACAAUGCACUUAUUCUACGACGGGGUGGACUGCCUCGUCCUCAUUAAUGGUGGAAACUGAAGAGUAAUACUCCAUUUCACUAGGGACUGUUGUUAAAACAAGUCUCAAAGAGGAUAUAAGGAAUGGAACCAUUACCAGACCUGCAACCCACUGAUGAUGCAGAAGCCACUCGGCCAGGAAAACAAGAGAAGGGGCAACAGAGAAGUGAGAGGUGAGGGAGAGGCUUGCUUGGGGUAUGCUGGGUCGGGGCUCACUGGGGUCGGGGCUAGCUGGGGCCAGGCCGAGAAACAGAAGCUGUGCACUGAAGGCCAGUGUUGUGAUGAACUAAGACAGUCCUUUCAGUUCCACUGGGAAACAGUUUCAAGUGGCCAUCACCAUCUGAAGGCCAGGUAUGGGAACUCAUUUUUUCUUCAGAGUGUGGAAUGGGUGCCAGAACCCUGACAACUGUACACCUCAGGAAUGGCUGCCGUGGAGAGUGGGGUGCUCUCCUCGCAGCUUAGUGCUGACUACUCCUGAGGCCUGGGCUGGGUUCUGGGCUGGGAACCUAUAAGCCAAUCCACCUUUCUGGAACACAGAGAGCAUGUAUAAGAAAGCCAGAAUACUCUCCCAGACGUCACUGGAACCAUCUACUGUGCUGCGGUGACAGAGGCCCUGCGAUGUCUGACCCCUCAGAAACUCUCGCUGACUUCUGCCAUGUUCACAGUGAAGUCUGCCCUCCCAGAUGCAAAUCUCUGAAGCCAGAAAACCCCUCCAGGUUUCUCCUUUUCAAACUGUGGCCAGAGGGUGGCAAUCAAAACUAAUUCAAUAGGACACACCGUGGGGAGGGGAUGGGGCUGCAUGCACAGACAGGUACAGUACUGAAGUCGAAUGAGUUUUCACAAGACUGACUGUUUCUGAAGACAUAUCAAGAAAUGUGUUCUGUGGAAGAGGAGCUGGGCAGCCCUUUCCUGAAGAAAGAGACAGACACGUCACAGGAGAUGGGACAGCUGUGCAUUUGCCCCAUGGGACCAGCAUGACUUCCCACCUGGCUGAGUGCUCACCACACAGGUGAGCCUGGCUUCUGGCUCAUUCCUGUGUGUGCUUGCGAUUCUUGUGUAUCUUAAGCUUCUGCAUGGUAUGGAGCGCUGACCAGGAGGUUGGUACUAUCUAUUGAGUCAGUUAAUGAGCCUGGUCACUCCUCCUAAUGUCCUGGUUCUGACACAACCUUCUGUCCCUGCAGAAGGCUUCAUCUUGGCAGCAGGUGUGGACUCUUCUUGCCAGUGUGGCCUGACCAGAGACAUUUCUACCUCCUGUUAUUUUCUAGAUCCCCGUGAGUGCUCAUCAUCCAACAUGAGGGCCAGCACUGCAUCUUCUGAGACAAGGCAGAUGGGGAGAAGUUCAAGGGGACAGUGUCACACUGUCUGUCUGGAUGCUGUGUGUCCUCCCAAGGCAAUCUCUAAGAACCAUGCCAAGGCUUCUUAAAAAUGUCCAGCUCAGGUUUCUCCACAUGGAGGGAGUGAAGUUCAGGCCUUGAGCUUUUACUAAAGAGUUUACUUUUUUAUUGACUAGUGAAGCAGGCUCCCUUAGGGUUGUCGAGGCCAGGGAAGGGGGAGGUAAUUUUAUGCUUAUAUGGUGUCCGUUAGUCUCUGGGUGCCAUGACGCCCUCCUUCCUAACCAUGGAGCUGUGCUCUGUCUUAAGAGUAACUAAGGGCUCACAGGGAGGUGCCAUUCACAUGGGUGAAUUUGAUCCUCACCAUGUGAGGUACCUGUUCAGGGCCUGUUCUUCUGUUUCCUAGCUUGCCUUCCUCAUCUACAAUCUGUGGAUACUCUCGACGCCUACCUCUGUACUCACGCCAACAAGCUGGUGAGUUCUGCCCAGGGAUGGAGACCCAUCUGCAUAGAGAGCUGCUCUGCUGAGCUACCAAACACUCCUUCCACCUUGAUACACUCGGGAGGCUCCGAUAACUUCCAGGACAGCACAGGAUUUGAACCUUGUGACUAUGGAUGGUAUGCAGCUAGUGAGAGCGACUUCAUCCUACAGUGGCCAUGAGAUGAUGGAUGGACAGCAGAUGCUAUCAAUCUAUGGAUUCUCUGAACUGAAACGACCAAGCCUCUUACUAAGAUUGCUGCAGUUUGGAAUUCGAUAUCUUUUGGUAUCAAACCUACAAUGUGACUGUGAAUUACUGUUUCCACGUGGGAAGAUGAGAAUGUUCCCCCUGGUACUUCCUACCACAGUGAUUUCCCUCAUGCAUGGAUGAAGCAAUAAAACAUAUGAUGGGUUGGAACUCUGAAAAUGUGAGCCCAGGUAAACCUUUCUUCUUUUUAUGUUUGCGUAUCUCAGGUAUUUCAUCACAGUGAUGGCAAGUCCACCAACACAGGAUAGUAAAUAUUACACACCUAAACAUCCUCUUUUGCUAUUGAGCUUGGGAUCUAUAGAUCUUAUUAUUUUUUUUUUUUUUAGAUAAUAGAUCUUUCUACUUUCUUGAUCAUGGAAAGACAUACAAUAUCGUAAAAUCUAGAGACUUCUACUUAUAACCUAAUCGCUCUUAACCCACAAGAGUUAGUUCUUGGGUUGGAAGCUCCAACAGCUUCCCUACACCACCUACAAGGCCUCGGAUGCAGAAGCCUGCUGAUAAUGUCCACCUUCAAGACAAUAGCUGUAAGUCCUCCGCCUUCUGGGACAUUUGGAUGGAGACUGUCUUAGUUAAGGUUUUCACUGCCGUGAUAAAGACCAUGACCAUAAGCAACUCUGGAAGAAAGAGGUAACCCCAGUUCAUAUGUCUCAGGGAUACCAGGACAGGGACUUAAGGCAGGAGCCCAGUGCAGGGGCUAAAGCAGGGGCCAUGGGGGACUGCAGCUUACUAGCUUGCUCCUCAUGGUUUGCUCAGCCUGCUUUCUUAUAGAACCAGCCCAAGAGGUAGCAUUACCUACAAUAACCUGGGUGUUCCCACAUCCAUGUUCUGUUCUAUUGAUAUAGACAGUCUCGGUAAUAGCAACACUUGGAACCAAACACUGCUCAGAAUAGAUUAUGUAAGACCCCUUCCUUUAAUCAUGACCCUGUAGGAGGCAGGAAAGAUUAAGCUGGGGCCAAAGAGGCAAGGGCCAGAAUGGGGAGAGACUAGCUCACAGUGAGGUAUUAUGGUAUACCCACUGGAAAGGGUCAUGGUGCCAAGUGUAGGUGAGGGUGUCAUACAGUGUGAGCUGUCAGAUGCUGAUACUGAACAUGAACAUGAAAAGAAGAAGUAGCUAUUAUGGAGUAAAGAGGAAGAUCCAUCUUAUAUAUCAGUAGCAAGAAGUUGAUAUUAUGUGCAUCCUGGGGGCUAAAUAAGAAUGUGCCUAGCAAUACUGUUUACAAUCAACAACAACGUUACUACCUUAUCAAGUUGAUGCUAUUCAGUAACCACAAUGAAUGGACUACAGUUACGAACACCAGACUGGAUUAGCAGCAGUCACUACUCGUGCACAGUGACUGAGCAAUGGGCCAUGAGUACAGAGAGGAAAUGAUGUUCCUUAAUUGAAACAUUUACAUGCAUCACAUGUGUGUCUAUGGAGGCAAGAAGAGGACACUGGAUCCCUGGAACUUAAGUUGGGAGCUGCCUUGUGGCUGCUGGGAACUGAACCCAGGACCUCUGGAAGAACAGCCAGCGCUCUUAACCGCUGAGGUAGUACUACAGCCCCUGACUUUUUAAUUAUAUUUAAUGUCAAUGACUUUAAAUUUAAAUAACCAUAUUAGCUAGAUAUUUACUAUGUUGUGGACUUGGUAUGACAGUGUAAAACAGCCAACUUACAAUUUCCUAUUUACUACAUGUUAAAAUGACAAUAUUUGUGCUAUCCUAACUUAAAGAGUUAUUCUACAUCCACACUUUGUUUCUAUUUAGCAUGCCUAUUAUCAAUGUUCUGAGAUGUUUUAUAUAUGGCUCAUAUUAUACUACAGGCUACAUUUGUUUCUGGGAUGAUUUUGCUGGGAGGUAUUCAAAACAGAAGAAAAAGGAAAAAUUAUUACUAUAAGAUUCUCUUUCUCACAUAUGGUAUGUAUGUAUGUAUGUAUGCAUGUAUGUAUGUAUGUAUGUGUUACACAUCUAACUCAGAAGUCAUGGACAUCAUGCUAGGGAAAUACACUGUCACAGACCACAUCCCAGUUCAACAGUCUCUAUUUCAGUGGAUGAAGCAGCAGGCUGUGAUCAGAACAAGGGUGCUGGCUACUGUCUAGGUCUAGACUUGAUUGGUGGCUUCACGAACUUUUGCUUUAUAACAAUAUGUGAAAGCAUCUGCCUUCAGGAUGUUAUGCUGUGUGAAGCACCGUGUGCAACAGAAUAAAAAGGCAACCACCGUGAGACUCUGGCCCCGAGGUUUAGCGGCAGGAAACUACACAAAGAAAUAGAAUGGCCAUUAUUUGGGCCUGGGAUGAGUGAGGGACAGAGGGCUUUUUUAAGAAACUCUAUGCAGAGGUUCAUGUUUGCAAGAUGAAAAGAAUUCUGAAGACGGGUGGUGUGAUGGCUGUUCAGUUGUGCGAGAAGGCAAAUGCUACGCUGUGUGUAGUCCAUACAACUCAGAAAGCGUGAGUGCACUCAGUCCAUCUCCUCCAUCUCUACUCUAACCCUGACUCCUCCAUGGAAACGUCACCUUCAAGGAUGGCAAGGACACACACGGAGUUCCAGCCCUGAGUCCUUUGCUGGAACCAUGUCCCUGGCAUGGCUUGCUCCCUUUCGCUUGUGGGGUAUUGGCAGUAGUAACAAGGACGCUACUUUGGUGAUGGAGAAGUCACACAUUAUUGGCGUCUAUUUGCCAGACACUGCUAAGAAUUAGAAAGAGGUUCUGACAUAUUCUUGUGGUGUUAAAAUAAGAGUGAACAUCGAGAACUGAAUCUGCCUUCUAGGAAGGUACAAUUGUUCCUUGGUAUACGGUGGGGUUUGGUCUCAGAACUCCAUAAAUGCUCAAAUCUAUGGAUAUUCAUAGUCUUUCUAUAAAAUGUGUACAUUUUGCUUGUAACCUAAGCAAACUCUCCUGAGUACUUUAAAUUGGCUCUAUGGGGUACAAUGGAAUCGCGAGGUAAAUCGCUGCUCUCCCUUACUGUUUCUGGCAUAAUGACUGGAAAUUUGCACCCCUUCAGUAUAAGCACAAGUUUCCCUCCCAAAAUUUCAAUCUGAGGUUGGUUGACUCCUUCGAUGUGCUGCCUAGCAAGAUGGUGAGCUAACACUAUAAACAGGCUAGCCUCCAGAAGGAGCCAGCCUACAGAAAUCACAGGGAGGACCUUUACCAGUGGAAAGCAAGGUGGUUAUUGUGGGUGUGCUGUUUAGUGCCAAGUGUCAGCUUGGCACAGAUUAGAGUCACCUGGAAAAUGACCUCAGAGUGACUGCCAAGUUAGGUGGGCCUGUGAGCAUGAGAUGAUGUUAAUUGAUGUGGGAAGACCCAGCCUAGAGUAGGUGCCACCAUUCUGUGUUUUGGGAUCUCAGACUACGCAUGCAUGAGCUCGCUGUCUCCCUGCCCUUGAGUGUAGGUGUGGCCAACUGCUUCACUGUUCCCUGCCUUGGUUUCCCCAUAAAGACACUGUGACCCAGAACUGUGGGCUGAAACAAACCCCUUUUGCCACCAACUUGCUUUUCCUGUGGUAUUUUAUUAUAAUAACAGAAAGGGAAGGAGGCUAAUCCCUCAUCCUUCUAUAGGUUUGUGUGAAAAGCAUCCUUGCUAAAUAGCAAUUUAAUAAAUAGGAGGGUAUAUAACACACACACACACACACACACACACACACACACACACACACACACACACUGAACCACCAUGGAAAGAGGCAAUGUGAGUGACCCUUUUAGGUUCAAAGCCUCUGCUCAUUGCUGCUGUGGCUUCCAGCAUCUAACCUGAAGUCUAGUAGCCAGUGAACCGCAAAAUCAACAUUGACUUGUUGGGAACAAAUAGUUUGCAUCGCCAGAUUUUUUUGUUUUGUUUUGUUUUUGUUUUUCAGAUUCUACCUUCUCUUAAGUCAGAUAUGUACUGAGAUGAAUACACCAUAACCAUUCUUUUACGGAGGCGAAGUUAUUCUCUGAGGUAAUCGUGAAGCUGAGUCCUAGCAAAGGUUUGUAAGGAGAUGCCUAGCAGACAUUUCUAGCAUGUAACAAAUGCCACCAGGGUCACCCAGAAUGAAGAACGAAUGCCCAGACUCACGGACAGUCCCUGUUCUGAAGGCCACCAGCUGGGCCUUUCUAGGCCAAGGACCUGGGCAUUGUUGUUGAAUGGAGGAGGAGGAGCGUUCAGAGAACUCCACUGGUCAUGUAUAAAUUUGGGAAGUCCAACAGGAUCUACGGCUACCGGUUGUUAACCAUGGAAAUGGUAUGGCCAACACUUCAAAGACUUAGUGUUUCUGGAGGUCCCAGCCAGGUAAGUUUGAGAUGACUCAGACAUCGGCAUUAUUGACGCCCAUCUAAGCAUCUAUCCUAGCAUGAGGUUUUCCUCUGGUUAUGCCAAAGCUCUUUCAUGUUCUUAUUUUGUGUUGAAUGAAAACAUCGGAAUUUCCAGAAUCCCGGAUAUCUGCAUUUGAAAGACCUCAAUGGGGGACUCGGAGGUCCUUGACUUUGCCGAGCUUCAGUAAGGAGGGACAUGUCUCCUCUCUUAGGACUGUUGGGAGGACUAAGUACAACCAUACAUGUCAGUCCUGGAACAAGGCCCUGUUCAUUCCUUCAUCAGUCAGAUUUUCCUCGCUGAGACCAGACGCCAGAGAGAGAAACUCAGAGGAGCAUGUUCCAAAGCUUCUGAGGCCUUGGUCUGAUUCUGGCGGAGCAGAGGGGACAGAGGAAUACAGGAGAGGCCCAGGGAAAGCAAGCAGUAGCACUGAGGACGACAUCUCCAGUGACCGCUGCCUCCUGACUUUCACCAGUUCCCAAUGAGGCCGUCUAUGUUAACGGCUCUGGCAGGGGAAUCUAUCCACUGACAGUGUUAGAGUCCUCAGGAUCGGAUCAUUCUCCCAGACCCAUCAGCCGGGAACCAAGUCACUAACAGUUCCUACUCGGAAGACUCCCCUCGUUUGUGGGAAUGAAAGCAACAUUCUGGUUUAAGUUUCAGAACAGAAUUCAGAGCCCUGAGAGCAUGCCUUGUGCUUUGAGAACAGAAAAGCUUAGGAACUGAGAGCUCUAAGUAGCCGGCCCCUGGGGGUGGAGGUGGGGGUGAGGACCAGAACAGCGCCUAAUUUUGAAGGGAAACAGGAAGAGGUCUGAGUCACACUCAUCAGCUCUCACACCGGGAUCUCCAGGCAGCUACUUAGUAACUUUUCUAUCCUCCUCCUGUGCUGUGAAUCAAAGAGCUUAAGAUCCCAGGCUCUGGAGCCAGCCAGAAUUCUGGUGUGAACCCUAGUCCUGUCACUUUCUGGUUAUGAGACCUUGAACGGAUUGAUUAGUACCUCGAUUUCCCCUGCUGUAAAUGGGAUCAGUAAUACUGCGGACGUUUCACAGCAUGAGGGUUGAGUGAGUUAAUAAAAUGUGUUCACAAGAGAGGGAAUGCUAGCCAUCACAGUUUUAGGGCUGAAAAUGGCAUAGCCUAAGACCAGAUCAUUUUUCACCUGGACUAUUUCAUCUGUCUGUCUGUCAUAUAGAUCUAUGCUGACAGAAGUUUUUCUUUUUUCUUUUUUCUUUUUUUUUGG